UACAGAGGGGGCGAGCGUUGUUCGGAAUCACUGGGUGUAAAGGGUGCGUAGGCUGUCGGUUAAGUCUGAUGUGAAAUCCCCCGGCUCAACUGGGGAAUGGCAUUGGAAACUAGCUGACUGGAGUACCGGAGAGGGAAGCGGAAUUCCUGGUGUAGCGGUGAAAUGCGUAGAUACCAGGAGGAACACCGGUGGCGAAGGCGGCUUCCUGGCCGAGUACUGACGCUGAGGCACGAAAGCGUGGGGAGCGAACGGG
rnacentral:rRNA from 1 species